AGGUUCACCAUGAUACAAACUAUAAUAAAAGAAACAAUAGUUCAUGCAUACGAGACCACAACAUAAUUACAUCAAACAUCAUGCUGCAUUUAAUACUGAAAAUUAGAUCAAACAAUAACAGACCAACACUAUAUCAGACUCGGGCUCCAUUAGCAACCUUAAUCAAUUAUACAUCUAUAAAGUCACACAGUACAGUUUAAUUAUUUAUUUAGCUUUAAUACCGUGAUAGGAAAUAGGGUG
rnacentral:lncRNA from 1 species